rnacentral:lncRNA from 7 species
AUCUCGGCAUCGCUGCGGACCGUGGGAAGGUCUGAAGGAAAACACGGUGGCCCCGAUAUUCUUCUAACUGAAAAGUGCUACACAGUCUCUUCUAGACGAGAUGUCUGACUAGAAAGGACAGGUGCAAAACCAGAGCAGCAAAUCAGAGUGUGAAACUCAGUGAUGCUACUGCUGUCUCCAGCUGUCCUCCUCUCAGGCUCCCCCACAGGCAGCUAGCUUGGAUAAUGGACUCGAGGGAACACAUGUAUUGCUGUCAGCUUCUCUCCACACCCACUCUGUGAGAUGACUACAGGAUCAUUUUAAUCAAGAAUGAAGACUACAUAAUUCAAGCAACAGGGUCAAAAGUCUGAUGUCUGCAGGGAAGGUGCAUUGGUUUAACUUCAGUCAGAUUUUAAAUCUUGGCUUUAAGGCUUGGCUAAAUAAUUAGGUCAAACCAGUGCAACGUUCCGUGUAACUAAGGCCUUAAAAAAGGAUUUUAAAGAUAAAUAUCUCAGUUAAUUACUUAAGCUACAGUCUGAAACCUAUUGAAGUCAAUGAGACAGGAGAGCAAGCAGCCAACAAGAUACACUCUGAAGUGUCUUUCUGAAUCAGUAGCUUCAUUCUGCUCUAAGGAACAAACCUCCAUUUCAGCGAAAGUCAUCUUAGGAUCAUGGUGCUUUCUUAGAUCUCUGUCAGCCACAAAGCCUACAAGAGAGAGGACAGUGCUAAGGCCUCGCUGCAGGAGAGUGUUGCAGGAAGCUGGAGAGAGCAGAUUCUCAGCUAUACAUUCCAUUACAAAGUCUGACUUAAUUCAUGGAUCAGGAAUGGAAGACCAACUCCCUUGCCUUCAAACCAUGAGGAGUUUGAGAAAGUAGAGUCAACUUCUCACUGUACCAAACUAAAAGAACAGACACAAAUGAAAAACUUCAAUAGUGCAACAAGCUCUGCUCAAAGAAGCUCACCCAGCAGCCCGUUCAAUGCUUUGGCUUUUGUUAAAAGGGAGGUUCUUCAGAGCAAGAGGUUCCAUUACAUGUCUACAUGUUGAGGAGAAGACCCUGGCCAGUGGCCGGCCACCCAUUCAGCCACUCCCUCACUCCCCUUCCUCAUGGGGGCAUGCAGGGGCAGAAAAAUGAUGAAAAAGCUUGUGGACAGAGAUAAAGACAGGGAAAUUACUUACUAGUUACUGUCAAGCAAUUACUUACCAAUUUGUCACUUGGAGAAAAUUAAUUUUUUGCCAAUUGAAAGAGCUUUGGUUUUUUUGAGAAACAAAAUCAAAAACUGAAGGCACGUCUUACCCCCACAUCCUUUCCCACUUCAUUCCUGAUUCCUCUUUCAGUGAAUGGGAGGUGUGACGGGUCCACAACAGUUCCUCUCCACCUCUCCUUUCUCCUCACACUGUUCUCUUGCUCCACCAUGGGCCUCUUCAAUGGGCUGCAGAUUCAUGCUCUGUCUUGGAGGACCUCAUUACUCUCCUCUUUCUCUGAACUUGGCCUUCACCCCAUUACUUCAUCCUUUUUUUCCCCUUCCUCUGCCUGCCUAGUGCUUUUGCCCAUUCUUUAAUACAUCUUCCCUGAGACACCAGCAAAAAGCCACGUGGGCUCCUGGAGCUUGGCAGCGUCUGCUAGGAUGGCCACUGGUCCAUCACUGGUCAACAAUGAGUGUUGCGCCAUCACUUGUUGUAUGCUUCUGGUUCUAAUGCAAGGGAGCAGAUUAUAUAUAACAUCACUAUUUCCAACCUCAGAUAUUCAGCAAAUGUAUUUUUUUCCCCAAAUACUUUUCAAUGGCAAAUAUAGAUACCUUUUCAUUUGUAUUUUGACCUCCAAGCCUUGAAUCUUUCUCCAAACACAUAGUCAAGAAACUCAUUUUUCAAAAGUCCUAAGAGUUGAGUUUCUUAUGAGAGUCUGGUCCACUUCAAGGAGAGAAACCUCAGUUUAUGAAAAAUAAUAUUACAACUGUUGUGCUGGCUGAUGUCCUCUACUUUUACAAGAGAACAAUAGAAAAUCAAUUACACUGACAAACCCCCCUUGUGGGGUGAAACUGUGUAGGCUUUCCCAACAGACAUAACAGAUGUUUCUUGAAGAGUGAUUUCUGAAGGUAAGGAAAUAAGGCAUCUUUUCAUGAAUAUUAUAUCUUCAUUUCUGCAGCUACAUAUUGUAAUCCUUCUGCAUUUCCAAGAGUGGUAGGCUUUAUCACAGAGACAAUUGCUUUGUGUUGGACUAAAACCACAGCUUUUUUGCUUAUGGACUACCAAGCAAUGUGUAGAUGGUGACACUCACCAAAAAUCUCAGCAAACUGACAUUGCAUCAGGUGAAAAACAUUUGUCCUGCUCCUUUCCCCCACCAUGCCACCCUUCUCUGUCUCAUAUUGUACAUCAAGAAAAAGAUACAGUAUUUGGUAUUUAAAACUUACUUUUGUAGAAGGUUGUAGCAG